UUGGAGGGCAAGUCUGGUGCCAGCAGCCGCGGUAAUUCCUGCUCCAAUAGCGUAUAUUAAAGUUGCUGCAGUUAAAAAGCUCGUAGUUGAAUUUCGGGACCAUCAUGUCGGUCGUGCCUCGGUACGUACUGGCAUUGUUGGUUUCUCCCUUCUGACGAACCAUGAUGUCAUUUAUUUGGUGUUGUGGGGAAUCAGGACUGUUACUUUGAAAAAAUUAGAGUGUUUAAAGCAGGCUCACGCUUGAAUACAUUAGCAUGGAAUAAUGAAAUAGGACGUUUGAUUCUAUUUUGUUGGUUUCUAGGAUCGACGUAAUGAUUAAUAGGGAUAGUUGGGGGCAUUAGUAUUCAAUUGUCAGAGGUGAAAUUCUUGGAUUUAUUGAAGACUAACUACUGCGAAAGCAUUUGCCAAGGAUGUUUUCAUUAAUCAAGAACGAAAGUUAGGGGAUCGAAGACGAUCAGAUACCGUCGUAGUCUUAACCAUAAACUAUGCCGACUAGGGAUCGGAUGAUGUUAAUUUUUUAAUGACUCAUUCGGCGCCUUACGGGAAAC
rnacentral:rRNA from 1 species